rnacentral:rRNA from 1 species
UACGUAGGGGGCUAGCGUUGUCCGGAAUCAUUGGGCGUAAAGAGCGUGUAGGCGGUUAUGCAGGUCCGCUGUGAAAACUGGAGGCUUAACCUCCAGACGUCGGUGGAAACCGUAUGACUAGAGUCCGGAAGAGGAGAGUGGAAUUCCUGGUGUAGCGGUGAAAUGCGCAGAUAUCAGGAAGAACACCCGUGGCGAAGGCGGCUCUCUGGGACGGUACUGACGCUGAGACGCGAAAGCGUGGGGAGCGAACAGG